GAUAUUUAGGGAUGCACAAAGCUGUUUCAUGAGACACAAAGAUCAAAAUUACCGUGAGAUGUCAGAGAGAAUACAGUUGCACAUUGCCAGUGAACAUAAUGGAUACAAAACUAGCAACAUUUCUUCUUCCUCUAAACACAAGAUUAAGCUGUUAAUAUAGAUUAGCAAACCGAAGACGAAUAGAAUCACCUUGUCCAAGACAGUUGGAUCAGU